UACGUAGGGUGCAAGCGUUGUCCGGAAUCAUUGGGCGUAAAGAGCGUGUAGGCGGCUUGUUAAGUCUUGCGUGAAAUCUCGGGGCUCAACCCCGAGCGGUCGUGAGAAACUGGCAGGCUAGAGUGCGGGGAGAGGAGCGUGGAAUUCCCAGUGUAGAGGUGAAAUUCGUAGAUAUUGGGAAGAACACCGGUGGCGAAGGCGGCGCUCUGGGCCGUAACUGACGCUGAGGAGCGAAAGCAUGGGGAGCGAACAGG
rnacentral:rRNA from 1 species